rnacentral:pre_miRNA from 2 species
UCUUGUGGAGGAGCAAAGAGAGUGGUUUCUUGUGACGGAAACUACCUCUGGUGAAGAUGCUGUGAA